ensembl:lncRNA
GACUAAAGCAUCCGCCAACUCCUGGACAGUCUGUGGUGGAUGGAACGAGACAUGAUGUCCCAGAUGUGCUCAAUUGGAUUCAGGUCUGGGGAACGGGCGGGCCAGUCCAUAGCAUCAAUGCCUUCCUCUUGCAGAAACUGCUGACAUACUCCAGCCACAUGAGGUCUAGCAUUGUCUUGCAUUAGGAGGAACCCAGGGCCAACCGCACCAGCAUAUGGUCUCACAAGGGGUCUGAGGAUCGCAUCUCGGUACCUAAUGGCAGUCCGGCUACCUCUGGCGAGCAGAUGGAGGGCUGUGCGGCCCCCCAAAGAAAUUCCACCCCACACCAUGACUGACCCAAACCGGUCAUGCUGGAGGAUGUUGCAGGCAGCAGAACGUUCUCCACGGCGUCUCCAGACUGUCACGUCUGUCACAUGUGCUCAGUGUGAACCUGCUUUCAUCUGUGAAGAGCACAGGGCACCAGUGGCGAAUUUGCCAAUCUUGGUGUUCUCUGGCAAAUGCCAAACGUCCUGCACGGUGUUGGGCUGUAAGCACAACCCCCACCUGUGGACGUCAGGCCCUUAUACUACCCUCAUGGAGUCUGUUUCUGACCGUUUGAGCAGACACAUGCACAUUUGUGGCUUGCUGGAGGUCAUUUUGUAGGGCUCUGGCAGUGCUCCUCCUGCUCCUCCUUGCACAAAGGCGGAGGAAGCGGUCCUGCUGCUGGGUUGUUGCCCUCCUACGGUCUCCUCCACGUCUCCUGAUGUACUGGCCUGUCUCCUGGUAGCGCCUCCAUGCUCUGGACACUACGCUUACAGACACAGCAAACCUUCUUGCCACAGCUCGCAUUGAUGUGCCAUCCUGGAUGAGCUGCACUACCUGAGCCACUUGUGUGGAUUGUAGACUCCAUCUCAUGCUACCACUAGAGUGAAAGCACCGCCAGCAUUCAAAAGUGACCAAAACAUCAGCCAGGAAGCAUAGGAACUGAGAAGUGGUCUGGUCACCACCUGCAGAACCACUCCUUUAUUGGGGGUGUCUUGCUAAAUGCCUAUAAUUUCCACCUGUUGUCUAUUCCAUUUGCACAACAGCAUGUGAAAUAUAUUGUCAAUCAGUGUUGCUUCCUAAGUGAAAGUUUGAUUUCACAGAAGUGUGAUUGACUUGGAGUUACAUUGUGUUGUUUAAGUUUUCCCUUUAUUUUUUUGAGCAGUGUAUAUUCUAACAUUUUUUUGAGUGUAUAUCUAUCCAUCUAUGUCCUUCAGUAUAAAGGAGGAAAUGUUGCUUACUUGUUGAGCAAAAUCAAAGCUGUAAUGCAUCCUGAUGUCUUUGCUUGCUGGUUCAGUAGGGCCCCCCAGAGACAACUGCAGGUCUUGAUAGGUGGUCUUGCAGUCAACAACCAUAUUCUGGUAGACAGACCUCGCACUCUUAACAAGCAGGAGAUGCUGCUCUUGCUUCUUCAGCUUGGCUGAUUUAACAGCUUCUGGCAGAUCUGAAGACCUGAUAGUUGUUCCUCUGGCACUGCCAGCACAGGUCUGUCCUGGGCUUAGUGCUUGACAUGCAGGGCAGCAAUUUUCUCCACAGAUUCUUGAAGGAAGACAGCCUGACUACAAGUAGCUCUGGAAAACACAUAAAUAAUGUGAGAUCAAUAAAAGUAGUGCCAAUCAUGUUGGAGAUCAAUUAAAUAAUCAAAACAUGUUUAUGCUUUACAUACCAAGUGUUGCCAUCGAUUCCUUGUGGAGGUGCCACACUGCUGCUAUUGUCACAUGGGAUGGCAGCAGCUUUCCACCAAAGUGUUUGUGUCCUGGGUGGCGUCCUGGUAAUAUGACUGGUGGAGGAGAGUCAGGCGUGUUCUACUGAUGCUGAAAAACAAAUUCCAUGUACAAAUAUUUUAGCAUUAUUAUACAAUUGAUGCGAAAUGGCAUUCUGAGAACAUCCCUACACACAGUUCAUACACGUAAUGUUAGCUAGCAAGCCAGCCAGCCAUCUAAUGUCAGCUAGCUAGCUAACAGCAAGCUUGUCAUAGCUAGCUAAAGUUAACCAAAUUGGUUCAAUGUUAGAUAGUUAGCUAGCUAACAGGGUGUAACUAGCAACACAAAAUUCCAUUCUGAGAAAACAUCACUAAUGUUAAACUCAGGUCAUACACGUAAGUUAAUGUUAGCUAUAGCAAGCCAGCCAUCUAACAUCAACUAACGUUAGCUAGUUAACAGCAAGUUUUAACUGGGGGUCUUUUGUUUAGACAUGUAAAGUUAGCUUGCGAAACAAACUAUAAUCCCAAUCCAUAGAGUACUAGCAAUACAAACCGAUUGUCAUAGCUAGCUAAAGUUAACCGUCUGCUUUUGGAGCAGUGGCUUCUUACUUGCUGAGCUGCCUUUUAGGUUAUGUCUAUGGGACUCAUUUUACUGUGGAUAUAGAUACUUUUGUACCUGUUUCCUCCAGCAUCUUCACAAGGUCAUUUUGCUGUUGUUCUGGGAUUGAUUUGCACUUUUCGCACCAAAGUACUUUCAUCUCUAGGAGACAGAACGCAUCUCCUUCCUGAGGGGUAUGACGGCUGCGUGGUCCCAUGGAGUUUAUACUUGCGUACUCUUGUUUGCACAGAUGAACGUGGUACCUUCAGGAGUUUGGAAAUUGCUCCCAAGGAUGAACCAGACUUGUGGAGGUCUACAAUUUUGUUUCUGGGGUCUUGGCUGAUUUCUUUUGAUUUUCCCAUGAUGUCAAGCAAAGAGGCAGUGAGUUUGAAGGUAGGCCUUGAAAUAUAUCCACAGGUACACCUCCAAUUGACUCAAAUUAUGUCAAUUAGCCUAUCAGAAGCUUCUAAAGCCAUGACAUAAUUUUCUGGAAUUUUCCAAGCUGUUUUCCAAGCAUGCAGAAAGUAGAUGUGCUAACUGACUUGCCAAAACUAUAGUUUGUUAACAAGAAAUGUGUGGGUGGCUGAAGAAUUUGUUUUAAUGACUCCAACCUAAGUGUAUGUAAACUUCCGAUUUCAACUCUAUAAACAGUUUUUGCUUUGUCAUUAUGGGGUAUUGUGUGUAAAUUGAUGAGGGGGGGAAACGAUAUUAUCAAUUUUAGAGUAAGGCUGUAACUUAACAAACUGUUGAAAAGUCAAGGGGUCUGAAUACUUUCCGAAUACAUACAUACAUACAUACUGUACAAACAGAAAUACUCUUCAGUUUCAUCAGCUGUCCGGGUGGCUGGUCUUAAACGAACCCGCAGGUGAAUAAGCUAGAUGUGGAUGUCCUGGGCUGGCGUGGUUACACGUGGUCUGCGAUUAUGAGGCCGGUUGGACAUACUGCCAAAUUCUCUAAAACGAAGUUGGAGGUGGCUUAUGGUAGAGAAUAAAAACAUUUAAAUUCUCUGCCAUAGGCUCUGGUGGCCAUUCCUGCAGUCACCAUGCCAAUUGCAUGCUCACUCAAAAUUUGAGACAUCUGUGGCAUUGUGUUGUGACAAACGGCACAUUUUAGAUUGGCCUUUUAUCAGCCCCAGUCCAAGGUGAACCUGUGUAAUGAUCAAGCUGUUUAAAAAAAAAUGUACACAAAACUUGAGAGAAAUAAGCAUUUUGUGCAUAUGGAACUUUUCUGGGGUAUUUUAUUUCAGGUCAUGAAACAUGGGACCAACACUUUACAUGUUGCAUUUAUAUUUUUGUUCAGUAUAGUAUGUUCUGUGGAUGGUAUUAAACUGCAGUAAAUUAUGUCUGAGAUUUAAGAGCAUGACUUGGCAUUCAAACACAUCUGUAUGCAUUAAUCCUUGUCAAUAGUGUCUCCCAGGUCGAACUCACUUUUUUGUUUUGACAUGUUUUGUGUCAUCAGGAAAAGCCUCUGUCAAACCUUGAUACAGUUUGGAAAUCAAUUUUUAGAGGUUUGUGAAACUAUUUUAAGGCAGUCUGAAUCUUUGAAGCUUCUGGCUUGUCCUGUGUUUGCUGCACAGA